rnacentral:rRNA from 1 species
GACGAACGCUGGCGGCGUGCCUAAUACAUGCAAGUAGAACGCACAGUUUAUACCGUAGCUUGCUACACCAUAGACUGUGAGUUGCGAACGGGUGAGUAACGCGUAGGUAACCUGCCUGGUAGCGGGGGAUAACUAUUGGAAACGAUAGCUAAUACCGCAUAAUAUUAAUUAUUGCAUGAUAAUUAAUUGAAAGGUGCAAUUGCACCACUACCAGAUGGACCUGCGUUGUAUUAGCUAGUAGGUGAGGUAACGGCUCACCUAGGCGACGAUACAUAGCCGACCGGAGAGGGUGAGCGGCCAGACUGGGACUGAGACACGGCCCAGACUGCUACGGAAGGCAGCAGUAGGGAAUCGUCGGGAAUGGACGAAAGUCUGAGCGAGAAAGGCGGCAGGAGUGAAGAAGGUUGUCGGAUCGUAAAGCUCGGUUGUAAGAGAAGAACGGGUGUGAGAGUGGAAAGUUCACACAGUGACGGUAUCUGACCAGAAAGGGACGGCUAACUACGUG